UACGUAGGGUGCGAGCGUUAAUCGGAAUUACUGGGCGUAAAGCGUGCGCAGGCGGUUCGUCGUGUCCGAUGUGAAAGCCCCGGGCUCAACCUGGGAAUGGCAUUGGAAACUGGCGGGCUUGAGUGUGGCAGAGGGGGGUGGAAUUCCGCGUGUAGCAGUGAAAUGCGUAGAGAUGCGGAGGAACACCGAGGGCGAAGGCAGCCCCCUGGGCUAACACUGACGCUCAGGCACGAAAGCGUGGGGAGCAAACAGG
rnacentral:rRNA from 1 species